GGGUCCGUAGUAUAGCUUGGUUUAGUAUAUACGCUUGGGGUGCGUAUGACCCCGGUUCAAAUCCGGGCGGGCCCA
rnacentral:tRNA from 1 species